UUGCAUUCAUUUGUGUGCCAUAAAGACCACGUCCACUUUCUGAAAAGUGGAUUUAAAGUUGUGCGUAUGCACAACAAUAGGUAACGAACACGAGAAACCACACGAAGAUGGCUAUACUGCAGUCUUGUUGCUUUUGGAAGACGGUGCGUACCGGCAGCAUGGCAAGCGCCGCAUACACUUUGGUGUACUUUGGUUUCUCCACCGUUGUUAUGCUCAUUACCGUUUACGAUGAACAGGAGUUUCUGGCUGGUAGCAGCGAGCAGCCAUUAGGGGAAAGCAUCUUGGCUAAGGGAGAGAUAACUCCGGCUAUUGUUGCAUUUAAUAUUCUCUUUCUGAUUUGCUCGUUUUUCAUCGUCAUAUCGUCGCUCUUAACGUUCGUGGGGCUAAAUCAGAAUCGACGUCAACUGCUGUUGCCCUGGAUUAUUUUCAUGCUUUGCGAUGUGCUCAUUGAAAUUGUUCACUUAAUCUAUUUGUCAUUUACGCAAAUCGUGAACUUCGAUCCAGUAGUCGGCUUUAUAUUCACUAUCGACUUUUUUAUAAUGUGUCUAAAUUCUUACUGUCUGCUGUGCGUGAUAUCGCAAUAUCAAAAUUACCUGCAAGGACAGGGUUGCGGGAAUCAACAGACACGGACCGAAGUGGUGAUACAAUCAGCUGAUGGUGGAGCUGGCUCAAGUCAGAAUUACCUGUGUGCAACGAAAAUACAAAAAUCUAUCGCUAGUCCUUACAUAACAACAAAUCCACACACACAUAUUUCGACGAUACACGAGGAGAUGGACCAAAAUCAUAAAAUUUCUACGGAUUCAGUCUUAUUCAUGUCGUUUCUUUCCAUUGUAUCGCCACUUAGUAUUGCUGUCUGUUGUGCGUGAUAUCACAAUAUCAAAAUUACCGGAAAGGACUUGCGGGAAUCCACAGAUACGGAAGGAGUACCGAACAAACGGGUAGAGGAGAACCGCUUGCACAUAAAUGUGAACAUUUCAUCUCCGUUGUAAAUGUAGCAUCA
rnacentral:misc_RNA from 1 species